GAAGGCAGCCAAGGGCCAGAUGGAACCCUGAGGCCCCGGGCCACUCACUCAGUUCUGCCCCCAGGGGUCCGGGCUAGGCCUCCAGAGAGGCCAUACCUUUGCUGAACUGUCAGGGGGAAGCCUGGCUGGAGGCCCAUGUCCCCUCCAGACCACACCCCAAAAUGGAACCCACAGCAUCAGUGUGGCCUCAGGGUGUGCACCAGGAACUGACUGAUAGGCAUGUAGCCUGUGGCUGCUGUGGCCCCACACCCCAGCUAUGGGGUCAGGGACAGCCCACAGCCACUCCAGACCCACUCCGGCCCCACCCAUCCCUCCCUGUACUCCCUACUCAGCAGAGACCCCAGCUCCUAACCGAAGCAGAUGGGCAGGAGCCUGGAAGGCCCCCCACAAGCACCUCCCUAUCCAUUUUUAGCCCUGGACCCUUCUCUGGCUGCCCAUUUGGUGCUGUCUGUCUCCACCCUCCCAGAGUCAGCUGCCCUUCAUCCUGCCAGCAGAGAGAAUAAUUUGAGCCUGAGGUCGGGCUGUGAGUGUGGGGGGGUGCAGAUGAAGCGCGGCCUUGCUGGGGAAGGGCCUGGGUAGACAGCUGGGCUUCUGGAGGGACGCCGAGAGCUGAGAGCUGAGAAAGAAGGAAGACUAAAGGGAACCGGAGUCCCUUAUGAUUGCAAGCAGGGUUCAGCUGACAAGACCCUUCACAGCCUUUAUCUCAAGGGACCCUCUCCACAGCCCUGAGGUGAACUGGCCAGGUGUGGCCAGUGCUGUUUAACUGAAGACACCCCUGAAGUCUGGAGAGGUUCACGGACUGGCCCCAAACUCCCGGUGUGGUAGAUCCAAGACUCCUGGGUCCUGGCGCACCACACAGCUCUUCCCUAUCUUCAUCUGCCCCAGUACACUCAUCCUGCCCCAAAACCUGGGCAGGGGCCAGGACAGUGUCCCCAGAAAAGGCCAGAGGAUCCCAAGAGACAGCUCCUUUGCCAGACUGCAGCCAGCAAAUCUCUGCUGCCCAA